AUUGAACGCUGGCGGCAGGCUUAACACAUGCAAGUCGAGCGAGCGGCGGACGGGUGAGUAAUGUCUGGGAAACUGCCUGAUGGAGGGGGAUAACUACUGGAAACGGUAGCUAAUCCCGCAUACCAUCGAAUGUGCCAAGAGGGGAUUAGCUAGUAGGUGGGGGAAAGGCUCACCUAGGCGACGAUCCCUAGCUGGUCUGAGAUGUUGACCAGCCACACUGGAACUGAGACACGGUCCAGACUCCUACGGGAGGCAGCAGUGGGGAAUAUUGCACAAUGGGCGCAAGCCUGAUGCAGCCAUGCCGCGUGUAUGAAGAAGGCCUUCGGGUUGUAAAGUACUUGCAGCGGGGAGGCGUUACCCGCAGAAGAAGCACCGGCUAACGCCGUGCCAGCAGCCGCGGUAAUUC
rnacentral:rRNA from 1 species